UCCGCUCCAUCCAAACCUGGCACCCGGCCUCCGCCUCCGUCUCCACCUCCAGCCGCCUCCUGGCCUCCCUCUCCCUCUCUCCCUUCCCCAAACGCCUCCUACCUAGCCACCAUCGAUGGUUGCCCCUCCCUCCCUCUCCCUCUCCACGCUUGCGUGGGGCUACGGUGCGGCCAGAUCUGGCGCGGGCGGCACCCUACACGCCAUGCUGAAGGGGCGCACGAUGGCGCCGCGAAGCCCCGAGCCUGGCGUGGAGGCGGCGUGCGGGUGUCGCCCAGAGCAGCCAUGCGCGGCGGCCGGACCUCGAGAUGGAUGGCCAAGGCAAUCGUGGAUCCAGGGACGGGUUGAGCUCCGGCCCCAGCGCGUUCAAUCAGGGGCUGCUGUAGCGGAGCUUCGCCCUUGUGCGUCGCCUCUGCCGCGGCUCAGCGACUCCUCUCUGUGGACGGUUGCGGCUGCCGGACGCCUCCCCGACGAGGCCCAGCGAGCCGUCCCGAAGGAGCCAGGGAGGGCGGAGAUGAGGAGUGAGCCAGCGUCUGGCAAGGGAGGCGUGGCGGCGCGUAGGAGAUCUGCGGCGGGUGGCUGGUUCGCAGGCGCGUCUUGCGAGGGCGCCCUCGGCAGUCUCUUGGCGUACUGCCACACUGGAGUGGAUAAGGAGCUGAGGAGCGGCAGGCAAGCAGCCAACAACCAGGAGCGAUUCGGGGAAGGGAAGCAGCAAGGGCAUAACACUUGUAGUUUUGUAUCGGCAAGCAGGUCUGUGCAAUCCUCCUCUUAUGGCCUGGGCAUUCCUCUAAACUAAAAUUACGAUGAUGGGGCUGUACAUCAGGCCAAGUCUUCCCAUUCUUAAUGGCAUUAGCUCAUCAAUAUCGUACCUUUUUUUUCAACAAAUACAGUAAGGCAUUAGUGGAUCCAAGAGUGAAACACUAUAUUUUUUCAUGAGCUCGUCAGAACUGCAAGUCUAGAUAUGAUACUUAUUUGUGUGUGUUUCUAAUGAUUUUCUUACUUCUGAAUUGGUUCUUACUUUUCUGAAUUUUCACCCUGAUGGUUUCUAUUUUCAGAACUAUAUUAGGAGAAUAGAGAUUGCCAUGUUAUUUUGAGCUGCCUCAGUCAAAGAUCACUAGCAAUGUCAAUUCAUUAACACGAUAUAGUCACAAAUAAUUAGUGCCAUUAAACUUUUCUUUUGAGCAUAGAGAUUGCCCUGAUGCCAACUAGCUGUCAGUGCCCACAACUUCUCCUCUUGGAUACAGGUAAUUGUUUUGGCGUGGUGCAGAAGCCCAACAAACAGCUCAUGCCCUACUACUUUUAGGAACAACAUGGUUGUGGAUGUGAAUGAGAUGGGCGUCAAGCAUACAUGCAGAUUUCUGCUAGGUCAGAGAUGAAGAAGCAAGCUGUGUUGGAGGCGCAGCUUGAGCAUUUGCUGUGUCAAAAUGGACCGAGCAAAGCGUCAUGGUGGUAUGUUAGCUUUUGGUGGAAUUAAGCUUUUGCAGGAACCAAACUUGUGUUUGUAAUUCUGCUGAAACCUAUCUUUUUUUUUGUUCUGAUGCUACAAUGGACGGCAAGUGAUACUAGAUGAAAAAAAUGUAUGUGAUCUGUUGAUUUAAUGCGAUGCUGAAUGGAAACGUGAUUCAUGUGAUGCUA